rnacentral:rRNA from 1 species
AUUGAACGCUGGCGGCAUGCUUUACACAUGCAAGUCGAACGGUAACAGGGUGCUUGCACCGCUGACGAGUGGCGAACGGGUGAGUAAUGCGUCGGAACGUGCCGAGUAGUGGGGGAUAACGCAGCGAAAGUUGUGCUAAUACCGCAUACGUACUGAGGUAGAAAGUGGGGGACCUUCGGGCCUCACGCUAUUCGAGCGGCCGACGUCUGAUUAGCUAGUAGGUGAGGUAAAGGCUCACCUAGGCGACGAUCAGUAGCGGGUCUGAGAGGAUGAUCCGCCACACUGGGACUGAGACGAGGCCCAGGCUCCUACGGGAGGCAGCAGUGGGGAAUUUUGGACAAUGGGCGAAAGCCUGAUCCAGCCAUGCCGCGUGUCUGAAGAAGGCCUUCGGGUUGUAAAGGACUUUUGUCGGGGAGGAAAUCCCCAGCGUUAAUACCGCUGGGGGAUGACAGUACCUGAAGAAUAAGCACCGGCUAACUACGUGCCAGCAGCCGCAGUAAAAC